UACGUAGGGUCCGAGCGUUGUCCGGAAUUACUGGGCGUAAAGAGCUCGUAGGUGGUUUGUCGCGUUGUUCGUGAAAACUCACAGCUCAACUGUGGGCGUGCGGGCGAUACGGGCAGACUUGAGUACUGCAGGGGGAGACUGAAUUCCUGGUGUAGCGGUGGAAUGCGCAGAUAUCAGGAGGAACACCGGUGGCGAAGGCGGGUCUCUGGGCAGUAACUGACGCUGAGGAGCGAAAGCGUGGGGAGCGAACAGG
rnacentral:rRNA from 1 species